rnacentral:sRNA from 1 species
CUAUUGGUAAUUAAUUAUUAUGUUUGGUAUCUUGAACAAAGGAAAGAAAUCGUACUUGACUGGUGUGGAGGUAUAAGUAGAAUUAGUCCCUUUGAGGACUUGAGCCAUGAAUGAACAUACCCCCCUUCUUCCGUCACCCAUUCCCAUCUGGCCCAGUCACGUGAUAGGAUAGCGCAUUCAGAAAGCUAAAAACUAAACAAACAAUUCAUACAAAAUAUUUCUAGAGCACAGAAUUAUGAUGUCUAGGUCAAUAGUGCGAAUAAUGACAUGACAAUUACAUUUCAUAUAAGCUUUGUUUUUUUUUAAAGUAUUUUUUAUGUUUUUCUUGUUUUCUUUUAUCCAUUUUUAACUUUUUUCUUCUUGCUAUUGUGAUAAUGGUUUCUCCAUUCCAAAAAUGUGAUUCUACACCAAGAAGAGUUCUACAUUUGUUUCAACUUUUCAAGACUCGGAAACAAGAGAGUGACCUAUAUUCUGAAUAAAGUUUUGGCCAUGUAUUCAGACAAUUAUGA